rnacentral:rRNA from 1 species
GAUGAACGCUAGCGGCAGGCCUAACACAUGCAAGUCGAGGGGUAGAGUUCUUCGGGACUUGAGACCGGCGCACGGGUGCGUAACGCGUAUGCAAUCUACCUUAUACAGGGGGAUAGCCCAGAGAAAUUUGGAUUAAUGCCCCAUAGUGUUAUCGAAUCGCAUGGUUUGAUAACUAAAGUUCCAACGGUAUAAGAUGAGCAUGCGUCCCAUUAGUUAGUUGGUAAGGUAACGGCUUACCAAGACAAUGAUGGGUAGGGUCCUGAGAGGGAGAUCCCCCACACUGGUACUGAGACACGGACCAGACUCCUACGGGAGGCGAGCAGUGAGGAAUAUUGGUCAAUGGGCGCAAGCCUGAACCAGCCAUGCCGCGU